rnacentral:lncRNA from 1 species
AAAAAAAGGAGGAUGAUGGUCUUCAGAAUCGCUUGUUCCACUGCCCAUGUCAGAUGGUGACAUGGACAAAUGCAAUGCAUGGUAUUUCAGGGUUAAGUACUACUGUGUUUCAAUUAAAUUGUGGAUCAGAAGAGCAGAACACUCUCCUGUGAAUUCUCUGAAGUAUCAAGUCUCGUCUACCCUAAACAGCUUCCUCUACAAGACAGUCCUGCUGGGAGAAUGCUUGUAAGGGUCAAGGAGGACAUUUGCCUAUUUCUAGUCCUCUGGAAUCUCUCCCAUUCUCUAUACGAAGUAACAAGAACUUGCACUGCGAUGGUAACCAUGAGCAUGGAAAGGAAAGCAUGGCUAUGAACACCACUCAAAUGAGCAGCCACCCUGCUUAUGCACGGGGAUGCAGAAGAGGCAAGAAGGAGACGCAGAUGGUUGCAAAACAUGAGCCUGACUACAUUCUGGGAUGAGGAGACUGACCGACAGUAACCUGCCAAUAGCUUUGGCCCAUGAGGACAAAGGGAUGCUAUUUCAAGCAGAGGGAAGAGGAGCAGCAUGAACAUCAGACAGUGACUUAGCCCUGAAAGAACUGGCCAGAAAAUAGGCCUGAGAGCUGAGGCAGAUCACUUCCCUCUCUUUCAUGUGCUGCCCAGACUCUCCCUUCUUCUCCUAGUUGACCGCUCCUCACCCUUCUAGGUCAACCAAAUAUCUGGAUAGAACUUUACAGUUCAUGAAGCGCUUUCACAUACAUUGUCUCAUCAACCCUGUGCGAGAGAUUGGCAUUCCCAGUUUGUAGUCAGGGAACCUGCGUGGUAGUAAGGGGCAGGAGUAGGUGUUGAGCAGAGAGACUGCAAUGCAGAGCGUAGGAAACUCUCAAAUGUCUGCAGGCCUAUCUAAGAGGAGAAGAGUGAGUCAUCAAAGGCACCCAGUUGUGUGUGGGAGUCAUCACUGGGGGUUGAAUUAUCAGGCCAAAAACAACUGGGCAUGGCUCAGUUUCUGGAGCUGUUUCAUGUCAGGGUUAGCUCCCACUUCAAAGAAACCCAGCAGACGGGAAAUGAAAGUUCAGGACAUCUUCCUUUAAAUCUGUUUUCAAAAUGGCUCAUGCAGCUUGCUGUCUGGUAUCUCCAAAAGGCGUAUUUCAAAGAUUAUCAUUACUAUUUGUCUUUUAUCGAGAGCCAGUAGUAUGCA